rnacentral:lncRNA from 1 species
GCUGAUCUAACGACUCUCCGGCCCCAUUUCGGUGCACGAUUGGAAAGUACUUUGGGCCUGCCGCUUUCUCAAUCGAAAAUGGAAAGGAAAGAGUUUUCAUUAACUAAGAUAUUUCUUGGAAGUCAACUCAUUCCUUUAUCAAUGAGCCCGGAGUCGCUUAGCAACAAUUCUUUGUGAAAGGAGCCCGCUUACCCACUCCCCUUUCCCCCCAUUGCUAGGAGCCUCGCCCUCUUGACUUGAUAUGUCAAGAAGACUACAACCGAUAGUGGAUNNNN